CGGGGCAUAGCGCAGCCUGGUAGCGCGGGAGUUUUGGGUACUCCAGGUCGCAGGUUCAAAUCCUGCUGCCCCGACCA
rnacentral:tRNA from 3 species